rnacentral:ncRNA from 1 species
GAGAGCCGGAUGCGGGAAAUCUGCAUGUCCGGUUCGACGAGGGGAGGGGCACUUUGCGGUCCCCUCCUACUCUAC